rnacentral:lncRNA from 1 species
CUCCUGAUUUUCUAAAAUUGUGUAUCACAGAGUUCUUGAGCAUACACAGAGUGUCUUUUUCUUAUUUUACUUCUUAAUAGUAUGCCAGCUUACUGAAUCAAUACUAUGUUAACUAUUGUCUUAUGAUUUUCUUGAUUUUAACUACUGGAUUGCUCUCUGAGCAUGUACAGAGUGAUGUAUUUUGAUGAUUCACACUAAUAUGAUUGUUUUUUCUAUUUUUCAGAUUAGUGCAAGUGCUUAACUAUAUUUUUAUGUAUUCACAUGCUGCUAUUAGAAUAUUUUUUCUACCUCAAUUGCUUUGCUAGAUUAGGUGCAUAUUUGAAAUGUAAUAAUGUAGUAUAUUAUUGUAUAGGAUGAAUAGUUGUUUUUCUACACUAUGUAAACAAUUAAUUACUGCUUAUCAUUAUAAUUAAUUGCCAAAAAUGGAAAUUCGAUGAAGAAUUUUGGAUUUUUGGACUCCCCGUGAAGGCAUGUCAUGGAUUGGUUUAUGUGGUUUAAAUCUUGUACCGAGGAUGCGGUAUGUAGUAGUGAACAAUGUAAAAUGGAUCCCAUAUUGGUUCUCUGUACAAAUGAUUGCUGCAUGCUGACAGUGUAUUUUCCAGAAGGGUGGGAAUGUUUUCCUAUAGGCCUGAGGAGGACAUUCCUAGAUAAAUAAGAAGAAUGGACAUUUGUUGUGCCGUGGAUGCAGAUGUGCUAAGACAAACAACACCUGUUACCCAUGGGAAGAGAACAAAGCAGAGAAGAAAGAAGAUAAGGAGGGACUGUUUACCUGACUUCAUGCCGUGAUUGGAUGACAGCGCGAGAGACGGAAGAUAAGGGUGGUUCCAGCAAAGCUUGAAAAAGGAACUUUUACUAUGGGCAUUAUUAAUUCAUUCUUCAACUUCUUUCCUUUGGAUUACCUCGUUCUACCUUUUGGAUUAUUUUUCUAAUGUAGUUUUUCUAGGUCUGUUUGCCUGCUGCUCAGUGCAGGUAAAGGACUGGGAAAGAUGUAGGGAAACUUAGAAGAAGGGGGGCUCUUGCCUUUUGCCUACCCUUAAAUAGCUUUUUAUGGAUUUUUAGGAUUUUUAGUGUUUUUGGAUUUAAAUGGAAUUAUUGCUUCAUUUCUGUUUUGUAACAAGCCUUGAAAAUGGUAACAUGCUUGCUUAUGCAUUAAACUGACUUUAUUUUGUGAAACUUUAUAUCUUUUUAAUAAAAUAAUUAUAAAAAUCA